rnacentral:lncRNA from 1 species
CGGUGCGGGCCGAAGCGGUGCGCGUCGAAGCGGUGCGCGUCGAAGCGGUGCGCGUCGAAGCGGUGCGCGUCGAAGCGGUGCGCGUCGAAGCGGUGCGCGUCGAAACGGUGCGCGUCGAAACGGUAACGGUUCGCGUCUACGCGUCGAAACGGUUCGCGUCUACGCGUCGCGUCGAAGCGGUGGGCGUCGAAACAGUGCGCGUCGAAACGGUGCGCGUCGAAACGGUACGCGUCUACGCGUCGAAACGGUUCGCGUCUACGCGUCGAAACGGUGCGCGUCGAAACGGUGCGCGUCGAAACGGUGCGCGUCAAAACGGUACGAAACUCGUCCCGAUCCGAAACUCGUCUCGUGCGGUAACUCGUGCCGGCCAG